GGGGGUGCACCGGUUUCGACUUGGAAACAAAGUACCGAUGGCAUGCAGAGGAUUCGGUUGGCCUCUUAAAAAAGCCGAAACGACAUAACUGUCAAUACAAAAAAAGCUGAGAUCAUUUCUCUCUUCGGAGAGGCGCCUGCAAAGGCUGAUCAAAGACUUGUUGCUUAAGACCUAACCCGUCGUUUAGCAACCGAUCCUUCAAGAUUGGACCAGGGAUCUUGAAAAGGUCGUCAGAGAUCUUGGUAUGAGCGGCGCCGCUUGACUUCCAGAGGCACCGUUUCGAGAUUAAAGGAAGUGUAUAAGUCCCUAGUGGGGUUCCUUACAGCAAGACUUAUACUAAAGAUAAGGAAAUAAGCAUGUAGGCAUUGUUAUAGAGUUUGCUAAGGACGAGAGUUCGAUUCUCUCCACCUCCAAAA
rnacentral:tmRNA from 1 species